UUGACUGAAGCCAAAGAGAGGCGUGUCACUGUUACUGACCAAACUGGAACUCCCCAGUCAUU
rnacentral:tRNA from 1 species